ensembl:lincRNA
CAAGGGCUGUGAGAUUCCAGAUGCUACCUGGCAGUGCCAUCGAAGUCCCCAGAUCUUCUGGACUGGCAGAAGGAGGGAUGAGAUUGAUAACCCGGGAUAAUAGCUCGGGCUGGCGGAAAGCUGAAGGGAACUCUUUCCAUCAAAAGGUGUCCUCCAGCUGGACACAUCCCAGGCCACGGCAGGGCCUAGUGCGGUCCUUUGUUUCAGAGAGAACUGUGAUCUCAGUAAGGCCUGAAGCUCUCAGUGCCGGUGGAAACCUCCUUCCAGGGAGGGGGAAGGGCUCCAUGGCUGGCCACGAGUCAGCGGAUGCUAAACCUGGUCGCUCAGUGGAGAGGUGGCAAGUCUGGAGUCUGAUUUGCUUUUGUGUCCUGGUUUUGCUGCCUGUAUCUUAUAAGAUCUUGGGUCCCCCGUCUCUGGCUCUUCUCACAUGGGAGAGCUGGCUGAAAACCAACACUUCCAGAUCCGAAAGGGGAGAAGCCCAGGGAGAGGGGAAGAAGCCUGCUCUCUCUGCACUGCUAAGAGCUCACAGCUUGAAUCUCAAUGCUCUCUGAGGACAGGGAAUUCACGUCUCCAGGGAGAAGUGAGAAGCUUGAGUCCCCCGCUCAGCUGAAGGUAACUCUUCAGAACUGGCAGAACUAAGUCCCAAAGGAGGAAAGAAAUGGACAGGACAAGAGAAGAUUGCACUCCUGGUUCCCUGGCAGACAUGGCUCAUAGACAGGAACAGAGCUGACCAGACAAUGAGAGAAAUUCGACAGUGAGAACAGUCCAGUGAUGAGUGAUGACCUAGCAGAUCAACGGAGUGAUGCCAUCAUGGACCCUAUCCCUACCCCAUCAAGCUUCUCUAACUGAAAAUGCUUUCUUUUAAAAAUGUAUUUACUUUUGGCUGCCCUAGGUCUCCGCUGCUGUGUGCAGGCUUUCUCUAGUUGCACGAGCAGGGGCUUCUCUUGAUUGCGGUGUGCGGGCUUCCCAUUGCAGGGGCUUCUCUUGUUGCGGAGCACAGGGCUUUAGGCCCCCAGGCUUCAGUUGUUGUAGCACACAGGCUCAGUAGUUGUGGCGGACGGGCCUAUUUGCUUCACAGCAUGUAGAAUCUUCCCGGACCAAGGAUCCAGCCUGUGUCCUCUGCAUUGGCAGGCAGAUUCCUAUCCACUGUGCCACCAGGGAAUCCCUGAAAAUGCCUUCUUUGAUGAUGGAUGUUCUGUUGAUGCUGGGAGGGACAGAUAAGAUGGCAGCAGGUGGCCCUGGGUCUGCUUAGCCUGGAAGGCAGCCCCAGGAGGUAAGGACAGAAACAGGAAGCCCUCCUGAUACCUGAGAAAAAUGCCUUGGGCCUUGCCAUCAAAACUCAGGAGGUCCUAAUUACACAUGCUCAUGUAUGUUUCUAAUACUCAUACAGAUGGGUAGAGAGUCUUAUAGCUUGACUGUAACUUAGAGAUCAUCUACUCCAGGAUUUCUAAACCUUGACACGAUUGACGUUUUAGCCAAAUAAUGUUUUUGCUGUGAGGGGGCUGUUCUGUGAGUUGUACAAUGUUUGGCAGCAUCCUUAGAAGCCAGUAACACCACAUAUUUCACAUUGUUACAAUCAAAAAUAUCUCCAGGUGCUGCCAAAUGACUCCAGGGAAGCAAAGUCAUCCCUGGUGGAAAACCACAGACUCAAAAUCAUCUCAAUUUAUGAAUAAGGAAAUCGAGAUCUAGAGAGGUGACCUUCCCAAGGAAACUUUGAUUUAUUCUUGGAUGAUUCUCUCUGGAGAAUUCUUUAUACUUCUCACACAAAGAAAGGGUAUUGUAAAUAUGCACAUAGUGUGAUCCUAUAAUUAUUGUUGUAGAAUAUGUCAUGUCCAACUCUUUGAGACUCCAUGGACUUUAGCCUGCCAGGCUCUUCUAUCCAUGAGAUUUCCCAGGCAACAAUACUGGAGUAGGUUGCUGUUUCCUUCUCCAAGGGAUCUUCCCCACCCAGGGGUCAAACUCUCGUCCCCUGGUUGGCAGGCAGAUUCUUUACCACUGAGCCACCUGGGAAGCCCAUAACUCUAAUACAACCAUAUCACAUUUUUUAGGGUGAGCCUGCUUUUGGGCUUCCCUUGUGGCUCACCUGGUAAAGAAUGCCUGCAAUGCAGGAGACCUGGGUUUGAUCCCUGGAUUGGGAAGAUCUCCUGGAGAAAGGAAAGGCUACCCACUCUAGUAUUCUGGCCUGGAGAAUACCGUGAGUCCAUGGGGUUGCAAAGAGUUGGACAUGACUGAGUGACUUUCACUUACAUUUAAUUAGAAGUGGGCCCUGCUCCUGUACCCUCUCCUGAGGGUCCUAGGGCUGCACUGUUCGCAAUAUGGCUUCCUACCCAGACUUUCCUGGAAUCUGGUUUAGAACAAAAUGUACCAGGCUUUAGAUAUGGAAACACUGUCACUCUCAGCUCCCAUGGCAGUGCUCCUGGCUUGAAUGUCAGUCUACAGGUCUUGGUAUUAAAGGACAGCGAAGGACCUAGGUUUCAUCAGAAAGGAGGAACCCCAAGGUUAGUAGUGGAUGAGCUGUUUCAGGGGCAGAUGAGGUGACUGAAUAGGAAACGUGGCAGGCUGUCCGUUUCACCAAUAAAUCCUAUUUUCUUUAAGAAAAGAACAUGCCUCUGUUAAUUUGUUAGAGCACAGAGUUGCCCACGGCUUUAAAAGUGGCACAGGGAAUAGCAUUACAUUUCUAUUAUCUUCCUAAUGCAGGCAUCAUGCGGCUAUGCUAUUUCACAUUUCCAGCUAAAAAGCAAGCAAUUUCAAAGGCAUUCCGCUAGGCCUGAACAUUUUUAAUGAUGUGUUCUUUCUUAACUUCACUUGUAAUAUCACCCUAUCAAGUGAGUCUAGCCCCUGUGAUUAUUGAAAUAGUUGAAGGAGAUGGCUAAAUUAAAAUUCUGCCACUGUGUGGGGUGGUAGGUGGGGCUGAAAGCAGAAGCUUCAGAAGGAAAGGACAGUUUACAGGUCCUUAGCAAUUUGGUUAAACUUGAGUCUCUUACUAAUUAAAAAUGUGUGAGCUGUUUUGGUAAAUACACAUGACCCAGGUCUCAGCACCACUCAGAGCUUACUGGGGGAACUGCCUAUUGUCAACUCACUGUUGCAGCUUUUCCCCUGCCU